AUUUAGAGGGAUAUCUCAUGUAUUGGGGUCUAUAAAUAAGGACGUUCGCAUAGUAAUAACAUGCUCAUAUGUAAAGCGUCAAAUAACGAUUCAAAGCAUGGCAUUACUUAAACUUAGUUUCGCUAUCUCUAUUCUUAUUGUGGCUGCCUCAAGUUAGUAUUCAUUUCUAUUUAGCUCAAUAAUAUUAUACUUCUAUAUUAUCGUGUUUGUUAAUAUGUAUUUAUGUAUAUAUGUAUGUAUAUACGUACACAUGUGACUCUUUACGUAUUUCAUAUAAAUGUAUAAAUGUGCAUGCAUGUUUAAAAUGUAAUAAUUUUUCGUAUUAUACCAACCAUUAUUUGAUUCUAAUAACGAUAAUGAUGAACAUUUUCAGUCAGCAUGCUAUUGUUCUCAACAACACAAGUCGUAGCUUCACCAGAUAUGAAUCACAUUGUCUCCGGAGAACUCAAGAGGAGACUGCUCCCACAACGUAACGAUAUAGUAACUUGUUUUAGAUCUUGUACUUCAGAUUCUAGUUGUUCGGAUUGUUGGACUUGUUGUCACUGUAAGUUCUCGAUUUAUCUUAACUAUGAUAUGUGUGUUGCGAGUUAAAGUCCAAUGACACCCAACUCUGCAACAAAUUCCUAUUAUGUUUAGUGAGUCAUGUUGUUCUAGUGUUUUCUUUUUCUUUUCUUAUUUCAUCAUAUUUUGUGUAACUAAUAAAAAGAGUCACCUAGAUGACUUUGUUGAGAAAUAAUAAUUGAGUUUGUUCCAAUGUCUAGUUGGGACAGUAGUGUUUGUUUUUUUGGUUUUCAACCGGAAUCCGAUGUUGUAUUGGGUCCGAAUGAAUUUUGAUUUGUACGAUUUUUAUUGACAGUAAAACGCCAUUUAAUUUCUCUUUACAUUAAUUGAAUCCUUACCUAGAAUCUUAGGUUAACAAGAC
rnacentral:lncRNA from 1 species